GACAAACGCUGGCGGCGUGCUUAACACAUGCAAGUCGAACGGUACUCCUACGGGAGUAUAGUGGCGGACGGGUGAGUAACACGUAGCUAAUCUACCCUGAUGUGGGGAAUAACCCCUCGAAAGAGGAGCUAAGACCGCAUAAGUUCUCUCUUGUUAGAGAGAGAAGAAACUUUGGCAGUGAAAAGCCAGAGGCGUUAGGAUGAGGCUGCGGCGGAUUAGCUAGAUGGUGGGGAAAAGACCUACCAUGGCGACGAUCCGUAGCUGGUCUGAGAGGACGACCAGCCACACUGGGACUGAGACACGGCCCAGACUCCUACGGGAGGCAGCAGUGAGGAAUAUUCCACAAUGGGCGCAAGCCUGAUGGA
rnacentral:rRNA from 1 species